rnacentral:lncRNA from 1 species
UGGUAAAUUUUUGACACUUGUGGAAAGAGAGACAAGUAAGCCGAUUAUUAGGAUGUUGUGCAAUGCAGGCUAUAACAGGUGGAAGAGAAGGUGCUACUUGAACACACACAAUGACUCUCUAAGUCAGUGCUGGGGUGUAGGGGAAGAAAUGAAGGCUUCCUAGAAGAUCUGAUAUUUAAAGUGAGACCGAAGCAUACAGAUGUUUCCUCUGUGGAGAACUGUAUACUUACUGUUACUUAGUUCUAAAGACACAGCUUCCUUUUUCUAACACUCUUGUCCCAGCUUUGGUUCCUUAGACGUUAUAAGAUUCUUGACAUCUUAUUGUAUUUCCUCUAACCCUGCUACAAAUUCUUCAUUUUUUCCAAUGAGUCUAACUUUGGAGAAGCAUCCCUCUGUUCACUCCGCUUCUCCUUGAAUACAGCAUUGAGUUGCAUUAUCACAUUAUUGCAAACAGAGCUGGUUCUGAUUUUUCCUCCCACCCCCUAAUACCACAAAUUUAGUGAUAGAACCACAAGUAGAAUAUCCAAUCAAGAACUCUCUAUUAGAUGACACUGAAUCAAACCUAACAGUGCUGUCAAUUAAAAUUCACGUACCCUGUUGCAUAAACAGGCGAUUACGUAAGUUGUGUGCUGACGAAGCAGUGUUGAGACAUGCUGUCUGGCAAUUGGUCUCUCCUAUUUGGUUGCAAGUUUCAGUUUCCUGGCAAGUCUUGUUUCGCCGUCCAUCUGGUACAAGUGAGCUCAGCAAGACAGCCAGGGUGAGCAGAAAGCCCACAGACACGGGAAAAGGCUUCACAGGUAGCUGGCAUUCAGCAAACUCAAUCUCAUGUGCCAACAGGAUUAGAUUUAACAUCGAUAACUGGUGAAUGUCUCAUCCACCCACAGCUUCCUGUAUUUCAGGAUUUUCCAAAAUUCACAGGUACGUAUAGCAGUAUCAUGUUCUGAGCUGGUACCAUUUCCAAAUGAGAGUUCAAGGCAGCACACAGUGUUAUGGAGUUAGAUAUGGUAAGGUAAGUAUGUGUGAGGGAGACAUAGUCAAGUGGCUGCAACUGUGUAUGUGCAUAAUUCCCUUUAUUUUCUUUCACAAAUGUAUAAAGGUAUUACAUCUACUAACUUUUUUAUAUUUUAUAUAUAUAUAUAUAUGUAUAUUUUAGAU